CUUAUGUGGUUUUCGGAACCCAAUAUGUGAAGGGUUAAUUCUAUUUUUAGGUUGAAGGAAAAUACAGUGUAUAAUUUGGGAAGUGCUUUCAAUUCUACUCUCAUCUCUAAUAUGAAUAUGGAUUACAACCCUGGCCCUGAGUAACCCAAAAGCUAAAAUCACACCCUCUUAAUCUGAACUUCAUUGUAGAUGUACCUCUCUUUCCCUUUUAAUUGCUUCUUAGGGCUUCUUUGUUUUGAUUUUCAUCAUCCAAUUUGUUAAAUUUAUUGUUAAUUUCAGGGUACUACCAGUUUUCUGCUGGCUCUGAUUCCACACUUCAGAAAGAAAUUCUGGUCGUGAGAGGAAGAAGCUGGUUCCUUGCCAUUUUUAGAAGGUGGUAGUGAAAUUGGAUUUACAUAACUCCAACCUUACAGGUAUCAAUUUUUUUUUUAAGCAUGUCGGUUUAAUUUGGCUCCGUGAAAAACUUAGAAAAUAAUAAAAAUGUAAAAACAAUUCUGAAUUAUUUUUCAUUCAUCAGCACCCACUAAGUUCUUUGUAUUGGUUGAGAAGUUAAUGAAUAUUUGUCAAGUUUUAUGUUUUUAUGCAUGCUUAUUGUGUAUAAAAUGACCGUGUUUGUAAAAAUUGAACCUUUGGCUUAUUUCUAUACAAAAAUUAAAUUCUUCGAUUUGCUUUUUCAUAUUGUGGGAUGAGUGUUUUGUAAAAACUUGACCUUUGGCUCAUACAUGUGUAAACCUGAGGAUUUGGAGUUGUUUUCUGUGUUGGUUAUGAAUUUUAGGUGACUAAAUUGGUGGUUUGGUAUAUUAAGUUAAGUUACAAAGUAGAUUUUACCUUUGUUUUGGAAAAGUGUGUAGCUAAGAUUAUUUUGAAGUUCCUGUUCAUUACAAUAUUGUGAUUUUGAUAAGAGCUUUGUCUACAUGUUUUUUGUUGAGUAUUGGUUUACUUGGUUAGAAGAAACUCUAUGAGGUUAUGUUAAAAUUUAUUUUGUGGAUGAACCCAAUUAGUUAAAUUUGUCGGGUUUAAGUUAUGUAAGAAAUUUAAUUGCAAAGUUGAGUGUUUUUUUUUUUUUUUUUCUGAGUUAUGUUAAUAAUUCUAUAUAAAUUUUUUGUAAAUUCAUGGUUGGGUUUAAGUUAUAUUAUAAAACAUGGAUCAUUCAAGUCUCAAUACAACUGGAUAUUUGUUUACUUGCACAAAUUUUUUGUGCACAGAAGUUUGUUUCUGUUUCUCAGGUUCUUUGCCCCCGUGUUUAUUAAUUGUGUUUUCUCUAUUCAUUUGGGCUGUCUCAGUGAUUGAAGAUCUCAAUCAAGGUUCUUUCCCUAUCUUUUCAAGCUAGAUUAGCUGGUGAGUGAUAUGCUCUUUGUAGUGGUGCGGUAUCAUUGGUGCUCACUUUGUAUUUUUCCAAUCCCUAUAUAUCUGCUCAACUCUUGGGUCAAUUAUUUGCCGGUAGGAAUGUUUAAUUGCUUGAUCAAUGAUGUCGAUUCAAUUUGAAGAAGAAAUAGAACUUGUGUUCAAUACGGAUUUGAAAUAUGAGUAAGAUGUCUCAAUUGUUCAUUGAUUCUUA